rnacentral:miRNA from 1 species
AGCUGUUUGGUGUCAUUAAGAGUCUCCAGAGACGUUCCUUAACCCAGAAUCUUUUGACUGUCCUCUGGAGAGAAAGACAGUAGGUCU